GGUUUUUUCGAGACUAUUACAACACUUCAUCUCAGAGAUUCAUAUAAUUCGUGGUUGGGGGUCUAUGAGUGGGCUGUACAAAGAGGCAGCGGGAAAGAGAGUGAGCGGUGCUAUAGGUCAUCAUGCAGAGCUUCCUUAUCAUGCGCCAUUCAACAAGCAAGAUUGUUGCCUUAAGUUUGUGAAAUAGAUCCGAGAGAUCACAAGGAUUGAGCUUCACUCUGAGGAUGGAUUGUACUUUUGAAGAGAGAGAGGUGUGGAUAAAAAUGUGUUUCUGCUUGUGGCUGAAGGUGAAUUGAUCUAAAAUAUGCAGCGGCCUCUCCAUGGCUCUGGGGACUAAGGAAGCUGUUGAAAGCUUUGAAGCAUUAUCGGAAUCCAACUUGAUGGUGCAGCUCACACCCUACUUUGACAGGACAACACUGCAGGGCUACUACCUGCCUGUCGGUCCAAUUACAUGUCAGCAACACCGCAGAAGAGUGAUCCAGUGCUUUAAAACGCUAGAUUUGCCGGCAGCCAAAGGAAAACCAGAGUGAAGGAACAGCAGGUAAACUACUGCACACAGUUGGGAAGCUAAAAGAUGCCCUAAGUGAAACAGUUUGACAGACACACGCUUAAAAUGGACACAGAGAAUGAAUACAAUGGGAAAGUGUCUUUCCCAGGAGAUGAAUUGGAAAGGAAGGUACAGCAGUGGGAAAGUAAACACCAAGGUCAAGGUCUUCAUUUAAUCCUUUGGGGCAACGACUUAUUCAGGGUUGUGCAAUAUUGCAAAGCAAGGGCAGAGAACUGCACACAUGCCUUCAUGAAUACCAAGUACAUCCCAAGCACCUUUUGUCAUAUUGCUAUCAAGCUAUCUUUUUUUUUCACCUAUAUGGAUAAGAUGCAUUUAAUGAUAAUAAGAUUGGUGUUAGAAAUGGCAUUCCUUUAUAGUCUCGUUUUGGCCAAAUGUAAAUAGAUUCUUCUUUUGUUUAAACUAAUAUUUGCACAAACAGCAACUAGAACUCUGGAAUUCUGUUUCCAUACCCACUGACCUUUCCAGGAUCUCAGUUAUCUGAAAAUUAUAAAUCAGUAUUCAGGUUUGGGCCUGAGACCGCAGCCUGAUCUUGAGACGGGAACAGCAAUCUGUGAUUCUGAUAUGAAGCUGAUAUAUUUGCAGGACCAACAAUGACAAAAGCUUAUUUCCACAAAUCAGAGGCAAGAAAUGCAUGAAAGAUCGUGGAUGCCAGGCUGAUGUGAAUCAGACUGAACUGCAGAUAGUGUAGUUUACCCUUUUUGGUUAGCCAGAGAUCCUGUUGAAAUGACCAGCUAACAUUUUGCAGAAGUUGUAAGCUAACAAUGGCAUUUGUAGAGUCAUUUCAGUUUGUGAAUAUUUAAUCAGAGCAAAUUUGAUGAACUUGUUUUUUGUCUUAAAAGCUUGUUGGCUGUUUGUCCUCUGUUUUGUCCACCCUAUUUCCCAGCACACAGUAGAGCCUUUUGAUUGGAGGAUAAGAGUAAAUGGGCAAUCAGUGCAAGAAAAAAUGAAAGCAUGGGAGGAUACUCUUUCAGAUGAUGGAAUCGCUGUAAUUUUUAGACAAUACAUGUACAGAAAAAAUGCUAAAAGUUCAAGGUUAUUAUAUAUUAUGCUAAUUAUAUUAUAUUAUACUAUAAUGUAUUAAUAAUUACUUGACAAUGUGCAAUUAUUUACAAUAUUGUGUGGCACAGACACACACUAGCUGUGACUGUAUAUUUGCUAUAAUAAACAUGAACAGAUGUUUUAUGGUUUCAUGAUGUAUUGUUUACAUUCAAGUACAGUCUAACCUUGAAUAAAGUCCUCAUAAACAUGCAGAAGGAAGUGAGCAGCUGAGAUUAUGUAAGAUACGGGUCUGGAGCUUUUCUCUCAUGUUGAAAAAUUUAACAGCCAUCUGUGAAUGUCCCAGGUCAGUGCAGGAGAAAACAGGCCAUUUCUGAGAGGUUCUAUAGGAUGUAACAUUACAGCCUUUUACCUGCUGUGGGCUAGUCAGUUUCAGAGGCAUCAGGAUGUUUUAAGAGCACUUAAUGAAAUGGUCAAUCAGGUCAUGCUCAUGCUCUUGACCUCCAGUAAUCAGAACCACCACAGCAUUUAAAGGGCCAGUGAACACUCAGCCGCUGCUACUUUAACCACCUGACUCUAGGCUAUUUCCCUUAUGUUUGUCAUCUUGUGACCAGAUUUGACAGCAUAAAGCCUGAUUAGUAUU